rnacentral:rRNA from 1 species
CACCUGCGCCCCAAGUGGCAAUCGCAUUUAUUGGGUCUAAAGCGUCCGUAGCCGGUUUAGUAAGUCUCUUGUGAAAUUGUUAGGCUUAACUUAACAACGUGCAAGGGAAACUACUAAACUAGAGACUGGGAGGAGAUAGAGGUAUUCCAUGGGGAGCGGUUAAAUGUUAUAAUCCUUGGAGGACCACCAGUGGCGAAGGCGUCUACCUAGAACAGGUCUGACGGUGAGGGACGAAGGCCAGGGGAGCAAAACGG